CGAACGCUGGCGGCGUGCUUAACACAUGCAAGUCGAACGGAUCCCAAUCAGUAGCAAUACUGAGGAAGGGUUAGUGGCGAACGGGUGAGUAACACGUGAGAAACCUAUCCUGGUCUCUGGGAUAACAGUCCGAAAGGACCGCUAAUACCGCAUACGUUCCCUGGGACCUCGGUCCUGGGGAGGAAAGGCCCGCAAGGGCCACUGGAUGAGGGGCCUGCGUAGCAUCAGCUAGUUGGUGGGGUAAUGGCCUACCAAGGCGAAGACGCUUAGCUGGUCUGAGAGGAUGAUCAGCCACACUGGGACUGAGACACGGCCCAGACUCCUACGGGAGGCAGCAGUGGGGAAUAUUGGACAAUGGGCGCAAGCCUGAUCCAGCCACGCCGCGUGAGUGAUGAAGGCC
rnacentral:rRNA from 1 species